rnacentral:rRNA from 1 species
CGGACGGGUGAGUAACACGUGGAUAACCUACCUAUAAGACUGGGAUAACUUCGGGAAACCGGAGCUAAUACCGGAUAAUAUAUUGAACCGCAUGGUUCAAUAGUGAAAGACGGUUUUGCUGUCACUUAUAGAUGGAUCCGCGCCGCAUUAGCUAGUUGGUAAGGUAACGGCUUACCAAGGCAACGAUGCGUAGCCGACCUGAGAGGGUGAUCGGCCACACUGGAACUGAGGCACGGUCCAG